CCGGGCUCCCCCCCCUGCCCAAGUUAAAAACAGCAAUCAGAGAGAGACGGCCAGGCCAGCAGACGCAGCGUGAGACGAGAGGGGACUGGGGAGAGAGCUAAGCUAGCACUCUCCGGCAAGUCUCUCGGCUGGGAAGGAAAGACCAGGCAGAGGGCGAUCAAAAGGAGGCCGGCCGGGUAGCAGCUAGCCAGAGACGCCUAGCUGCUGUAGCCACCGUGAGCUUCGGGAGCUAGCGCGUCAAGGCCUUCAGGGUAGAAGAGCUUUUACCCGCGACGCUAGCACCAGCUAGCGUUCGUCCGAGGGAGAGAGAGCAAGGGGAAAUAACUAGCAAGCAGCGAGGCGGGAGCAAGCAAGGCAAGGGGAGUGGGAGGGAAAUGGUGGGCUCGGGCGCGGCUGGGGGCGGCGGGGAUCACGCGCGGAGCAAAGAGGCCGCGGGGAUGAUGGCGCUCCACGAGGCCCUCCGCAACGUCUGCCUCAGCUCGGACUGGACGUACUCCGUCUUCUGGACCAUCCGUCCCCGCCCGUAUGCGCCCUGUCCUUCCUUGCUUCCUUCGUCAUGUCCUCUCUUUGCUUCCUAUUAUUGCUCCGAGUUUUACCAUCUCCCCGCUUGCAAAUAAACAUGCAUGCGACGAGUUACGGCGAGUGAUUUUUGCUGGGCUAAUGAUUCCUCUCUCUCUCUCUCUCUCUCUCUCUCUGCGUGCCUGCAGGCGGUGCCGCGGCGGCAACGGGUGCAAGGUCGGCGACGACAACGGCAGCCUGUGAGUGCUUGAUACUUGUGAUUUGCUAUUACUCUCGAUUAAUUUGCCUGCUUGAUUAUGUUGCCGGUGCUCAUCACCACCAAUAAUCUGCUGUCUGCUCUGGGCACGCAUGCAGGAUGCUGAUGUGGGAGGACGGGUUCUGCCGGCCGCGGGUGGCGGAGUGCCUGGAGGACAUCGACGGCGAGGACCCGGUGCGGAAGGCCUUCAUCAAGAUGUCCAUCCAGCUCUACAACUACGGAGAAGGGUGGGUACUGGGUAAGGUGCAGUGCAGGCAGUCGUCGUUCGUGCGCGUGCAAUUUUUCCCGCACAGUCCGCCGCUAGCUCGGCUAUGGCUGCUAGCUAGUUGUAGGCUCGACGACGACGACCGUAUGAAGCUAGCUGGAUGACAGGACGCCGGCCUCCACCUCUAAUUAGCCCGGCAAAUUCGCGCGCGGCCGUGCCCCGGCUGUCCCCAGUGCUCCGAUUAGGACCAGAGCGCCCCGCCCUGUGCGCCGAGUGUGAUUGAUGCUAAUACUCGAGCUCGUUCAUUAGUGCCGUGGUUGCAGCUUGAUUUGGACGGAGGAGAGAGAGAGAGGGAUGGACAGAGAGAGAAAAGAGGAACGGGGAUGGGAUGGGUGCGUGUGCUUUCAUCUUUUCACUUUGUUCCGUCUUAUUCUUACCAAGACGCAGCAGAGGUCUUUUCAGUUUUACUACUAGUGUUAUUAACCUGUGUGGUAACUAGUACUACUGCUGAUCUGCGUGGUAAUUAACGAGAGAGCUAGCUUAGAUCAGUAGCUAGUAGCAUGCGUGGUGUGUAGGGGGUAAUUAUGUGUGUGGUGUAGGUGAGCUUAACGCGGCCAUUUUUGAAGUCGUGGCUGCUGCUCGCUAGCUGCUUUUGGCGAGGACUACGGACCGGGGCGCUGUCACGUGCGGGGCACGUUGGUUGGAGUGGGGCGGUGCCUCGUGAGGCAUAAACAAAUCCCCGCGCGUCAGUGGGGUUAAUUGCCGGAUCAAUCUGUGAUUAACAAAUCCCAGAUUAUGCUACGCUACGCUCACAGCCAGAUGCUACACAGCAGCGCUUGUCAGCAGCAGCAAUUUCUUCGGUUUGAGAGGAUUGGUAAAACUUGUAGUAAAAGAGAGGAGCGAGAGGCAUCGUCAGACAUGCGUGUCACGACGUUACCUUGUCUCUCUGCGUGCCUGUGUGUUUCGGUCUGUUUUGAUCGCUUUGUUGAUGUACCGAGCUUUUGGGGGCAUGCAUGCAUGCAUGAUCAUGAGUGAUGUGCUGAGACGAUGGGUUUUGAUCUUGGCUUUGGACCCUCACCCUCUCCUCUCCUGUCCUCUGCAGGCUGAUGGGAAAGGUGGCCUCUGAUAAAUGUCACAAAUGGGUCUUCAAGGAACCUUCUGAAUGCGAGCCCAACAUCUCCAACUACUGGCAGAGCUCUUUCGACGCAGUACGUACCAUCAUCAACUGUGUCCCUGCAUCCUUCCUUUCUCUUUCUGCGGCUCUGCCCCCCUGCUUUGGGUUGGGUGAGUGAGACCUCACUGCUCAACCAGCAGCUCCAUCCCUGCACAUCAAAUGGCUAGUGUACUCUGCUGCCAUGGCGUGUACCGGUUGGCAUGGCCAUGGCCAUGGACCAUGGCUUUACCGGACCGCACUGCGGUAGGUUUCGAGGUUUUACUUGGCAGUUGGCACGCGGUAACAGGAUACAAGCAGCAAGUAAUAGGAUAGAGACACGAUGCAUGCACAAACACAUCCCCGGGGAGGUCCUCAGGCUUUGCAUCAGAUCUGCUCCACGAAAAGAAGAGACGAAUGGGAUGCUCGAUCUGAGUAGCCAUCUCCUGUCUGUCACCAAGAAUUAACGCCACGAUCGCAGUAACCUUUAUUCCUGCAUGCGGUUCUCUGUCGUCUUACCCUAUUCCCCUACCGGCUUUUGCUUUUGCAGCUUCCUCCCGAAUGGACCGAUCAGUUCGCAUCAGGCAUCCAGGCAAGCAUCAUCAGCUGUUGCGAAAUUUUGUCUUCUUGCUAAUUAGUCUGAAUUAAUCAGAGCUCUAACCAUGGAGAUGAUUUUUUUUCCUUUUUUUUUUGUCUGCAGACCAUAGCUGUGAUCCAAGCGGGGCAUGGCCUCCUGCAGCUGGGUUCUUGCAAGAUUGUGAGUGCCAAUUGAAGGCCCUUCUUCCCACCACCUGUUUUCUUAUUUUUGCAUGACUUUUCAUUUGUCGUUUCGUGUGGUCGCCGAGGACCGCCGGACGUGGACGUCUCAGCGGCGUCUCACGGAAGCGUAGGCGAAGCUAACAGCGACGUGACCCCGCGCAGAUACCCGAGGACCUGCACUUCGUGCUGCGGAUGCGACACAUGUUCGAGUCGCUGGGCUACCAGUCGGGCUUCUUCCUCUCCCAGCUCUUCUCCUCCUCGCGGGGGGCCUCGCCGACGCCGCCGUUCCCGCUCAAGCAGCCGGCGCCGGCUGCCGCGCGCCCCCCGCCGCAGCUCUUCAACUGGCCGGGCCACCAGCCGCCGCAGCUCCCGCCGGCCGCGGGCGCGUCGCCGCUCUUCCCGCCAGGCCCCGCGGCCGCGUUCCACCCGUCGGCCGCGCGCCCGAUGCCGCCGUUCCCUGGCGGCAAGCAGGACGAGGGCCACAUGUUCCACCUCCCGCCAGCGCACCAUGGCGGCGGCAAGCCGCCGCACAUGGACGAGCAGCACCAGCAGCAGGCGAUGGGGCCGGGCGGCGGGGAGGCUCCCGACGGCGACCUCCGGUGGCCUAACGGGCUGUCCUUCUUCACCGCCCUCACCGGGCGCGCGGACGACGCGAAGCUGCUGUUCGGCGGCCCCGGUGGAGGCGGAGGCGGCGCGGACGAGGAGAAGGCGGCGCCGGACGCCGCACAGGGCGGGGCCGAGAACGUGGAGGAGUACCUCAGCCUGGAGAGCCACUCGAACAAGGCGAGGAGGGUGGAGAGCGCCGCCCAGAGCACCAAGUUCAAGAGGAGCUUCACGUUGCCCGCGCGGAUGAGCUCGCCGGCGUCGACGUCCCCGUCCGUGUCGGCCUCCACGGCACCGCCGCCGCCGCAGCAGCAGCAGCAAGGGAUGGAGU
rnacentral:lncRNA from 1 species